GUGAAGGCAGUGAUGAUGAAAAUCUACCUAUUUUAUGAGUAAAACUCUGAUUAGAAAUUUUACCAAUGGAUCCUUCUGAGCCUUCA
rfam:Brassica napus, WGS project CCCW01000000 data, contig: 11032